rnacentral:rRNA from 1 species
CGGAGGGUGCAAGCGUUAUCCGGAUUCGCUGGGUUUAAAGGGAGCGUAGGUGGCCUUGUAAGUCAGUGGUGAAAUGUCGCGGCUCAACCGCGAAACUGCCAUUGAUACUGCUUAGCUUGAAUCACGUCGAGGUGGAUGGAAUAUUACAUGUAGCGGUGAAAUGCUUAGAUAUGUAAUAGAACACCGAUUGCGAAGGCAGUUCACUAGGCGUGUAUUGACACUGAGGCUCGAAAGCGUGGGGAUCAAACAGGAUUAGAUACCCUGGUAGUCCACGCCCUAAACGAUGUAAACUCGACAUUAGCGAUAUACUGUUAGUGUCCAAGCGAAAGCGUUAAGUUUACCACCUGGGAAGUACGACCGCAAGGUUG